GAGGCGGGACCCAGCGCCGCCCGCCAGGGGGGCGAGCCGCCCCACACAGGUGAUGGGCGUUUCGGCUGCGCUCCGGAUCGACUCCUUGGGUUUCACUUUGGUCUGAUCUAAGCAAAUAUGCAGAAGUACCGGCUGGUCUAGUCCUAAGAGCCAGGAGGAGCGAGCGAGAGCGGCAGAAAGGAGAGCGGCCGCGCUCCCGUUGGAAGGGAACGUACAAACAGCGGCAGCGCCGUAAUUCCAGCACCGCCACGCCGAGGCAGCCCCGAGCCACCCUGGAUGCGGAGGACCCCCGAAGCCACCCCGCUGCCUUUCCCCUGAGGGAUGGUACUGAAUUUCUGCGCGGCAGGAGCCGGCCUGCAGCUCCUCUCCAUCAGCGUUGCCUUUCCUCCGUAUCUAAAGUGCACUAGACCGCGAUGAGGACCUGGGCUUGCGUUUUGCUGAUAGGUUUUGGCUACCUGUCCUUUACCUCCUGCGAGGAGGCCGAGAUCCCGCAGGAGCUGAUCGAGCGGCUGGCGCACAGCGAGAUCCACAGCAUCCGCGACUUGCAGCGCCUCCUGGAGAUUGACUCCGUAGGAUAUGAUGAUGUUUCAGAGGCAAACUUGAGGUCUUAUAGUGUUCAUUCUGCUAAACAUGUGCAAGAGAACCGUCCUGUGCCCAUUCGCAGAAAAAGAAGCAUUGAGGAAGCCAUCCCGGCUGUCUGCAAAACACGGACGGUGAUAUAUGAGAUACCUCGGAGUCAGAUUGAUCCCACCUCGGCCAACUUCCUGAUAUGGCCGCCGUGCGUGGAGGUGAAGCGCUGCACUGGCUGCUGCAACACCAGCAGUGUGAAAUGCCAGCCCUCACGGAUACAUCACAGAAGUGUCAAGGUGGCAAAAGUGGAAUAUGUUAGAAAAAAGCCAAAAUUAAAAGAAGUUCUGGUGAGAUUAGAAGAGCAUAUGGAAUGCACCUGUACAUCAACAAAUACUAAUUCAGAUUAUAGAGAAGAAGAAACUGGAAGGCCUAGGGAAUCAGGUAAAAAACGGAAACGAAAAAAGUUAAAACCAACAUAAAACCUACUGGAACUAUUUGAUAUUCAGAUUAACAGGUAUUUAUUGGGAGUAGUAUGAUAGAAGCAAAGAUUUUCUAAAAUUCAACCCUUAAAAGUGCGCAUGUAAACUCAAUCAGAGCAGCAUUUAGAGCUCCUUGCCCCAGAUGUAAGGUGAAAAUAAGCUAGAAAAAAAACUUCUCUCUGGGACAUGGAUGUACAUGGUUUGUUACAUUCCUGAACCUACUAUGUAUGGUGCUUAUUGACUGUAUACUUUAUUUGUUCUCCUGUGUGGAAAAAAAAAAAACAAAACAAAACUGGCUCAAAAGAACACUUAAUGAGAACAAAGAGACAAUGUACAUUUGUUUAAUGUGACAUCAAAGCAAGUAUUGUAGCACUCUGUGAAACAAUAGGAAGCUUCCCUGUCCAAAAAAGAAAAAAAAAAAAAAAGAAAAAAACAGAAAAGAAAAAAGACAGUUGAAUGAAUGAAUGGAGGAUACCAAAAGUACCCAAAAACAUGACAAAAAUCUGAGUGAAUAGUGGAUUUCUGUCAGAGCAGUCAACGGUGCUUUACGUCAAGAAAUGUGCCUGCGUUCUUGAUGAAGAUGGAUGGACACUGAUGGACUUCAGGCACAAAAAAAGCAGGAAUGUAUGAAAUGAUCAAAUGCCACGCAAACACUAUAGAACAAUACAUCCUUGCUUGGUGGUGUUUUAAAAGUCUAUACAAAAAAAGCAACAAACCUUCUGGGGAGCCUUAAAUUUUUUUUUUUUUUUUUUUUUUUUUUUUUUUUUUUUUUACACCAUAAAGUGAUUAUUAAGUUUUCUUUUUACUCUUUGCCUAGCUUUUUAUUAUCUCUUGGACUACAUUUGCCAAUAACACAUAUAAAAGACUGGUAUAAUAGUAAGAACACGAAACAUUGCGGUAUUUCUCCUAGUGGGAUGCAAACUAAUGAGAUGUAUUAAAAUAAAAGUGGUAUACCUAUGCAUAAUUUUCUAGACGUUUCUUGGUUUGUGUUCCCCAACCUCCCCCGUAAUUUAAAGCAUUACGUAAAAAGAAAUAAAGAGGAAAGAAAAGAGAGACGUGCGUAAACAAAUCAUAGGAUAUCCAUGCAAAAAUCCUUUUUUUUCCUUUCAGACUUAUGCCAGUUGCCUACUAGUGAUAUUGUGUUAGCAAUUGUCAUUCUUAUCAGUAUACAGAUACUUUUAUUUCACAUGUUGGAGCUGUGUGAAAUGUACAAGUUCUUGUAUCUGCAUUGUACAAUGUCAUGGUGGCAUGGGAACUACCUUGCUGCAAAUAUUUGAACAAAACCUAAAAUUCUUUAUUUUUGGUAAAAUGUUAUGCUUUAUGUGUAUUCAACAGAAAUAUGUGUUUUUGUAAAGGUGAAGUUUGUAUUUUUAUCUAAAAAUUAACAGUUUUAUAUACCUGAGAAAGCCUGCUAUGUUUUCUUGAACCAAAAAAAAAAAAAAAAAAAAAAAAAAAAAAAAAAAAAAAAAGAAGAAAAAAAAAAAAGCAUUUUGUGGUCAUAUUUUUGUAGUAGAAUAGCCCAAAUAACAUCAAAAUCUAUUUUAACUAUAGCAGGGCAGAUAAAAUAGUCUGGCAUGAGCCCCUGUAUUUUCAAAGUGCCAAAGGAUGAUGUGUUGAGCUCCCCCUGGAUUGCAGUAGGAGCCACAUGUCUAAAUCCUGCUUUACUGCUUUGGAAAUUCAGGGCUGUGCCAGAUAUGACAUGGCUCCUCGCUGGGCCAAAAUCACUGCCCCACCCCAGUAGUUUGGAUUAUGCAUCCUUUGUUUUGUUUGGGUUAUCUCAUUGGAUAUGUAAAAUGAACUACUGGAUUCUUUUCUUUGUGGAACAUCGGCAAAGAGAUGAAAGAGUUUUCUCCUCUUAGUUUGGAAUGGGAAAGAGUUCAUCUUGAGACAGCGUUUCCACUCAAAUACAAAAUACCUUCAAGUGUGAGUGAGCUGCAGAACCUUAAAACAGCAGAAGAGAGAGUUUUAACCUUUCCAUUUCUUUAAGUAUAGCUCAGCCAUCCCCCGUCCCUCUAGCUAUGUCCAGUUUCAACCAAACAAAGCAAUGUUAGCUAACAGGCAUUAUUGGUUUCAGAUGCUAAUGCAGAGAUAGUUCGUCACCGUUCUAUUUUGUGGUCAUUUUCCCGGUGUAUUUGUUGAGCACCAAAACUGGAAAUACAUUUAACUAAGAUUGUCUGUGCUUGUUUUCCACUAAGUGUACUGUUCACAAUGUUAUGCACAUGAAUGUAUGUGUCUGCGUUUAAAGAAGUGUAUAAAAUGUAAUUUAUAUAUUUAUGUUUCAGUGGGAUGCCAAUAAUGUUGCUCCGUUCCUUUUUUUUUUUUUUUUUUUUUUUUUUGUCUGAAAGAUAUCUAAUGAAAAAGAAAUCAUAUAUCCAUUAAAAUCGUGUAGAUGAAAAGCAUUAUGUGACCCACUCAGACACUGUGCAGGUAUGAGAGGAUGUUGAAGUCACUUAAGUGGAAUAAUUUGCAAAAAACCUUUUGGAGAGUCCUAUGGUCACACUGGCAUAAGAGGUUGCAUUGAAACGUGUGGGCCAGACUCCCUGGAGUAACUCUGUUGACUGUAACGGAGCUCUGCUGAUUUACACCACCAGCGAGUCUGGCCUGUGUGAAGUUCUCGGGAAGAAAGUAAGCUAAGAGGCAUGCAUUUUGCUGGUGCCAGCAAGUAAGUGUGUUACGCCAAAUUCAGCAAACCAGGAGAGAAUGAAGACUGAAUGGAGUCUUUUCCAGUAGUCGUUUGUUUGAGGCUUGUAGAGUCGAGUUAAUUUUGUUACCAGGAAUGAAACGCACAUGAGCCUUUGCUCUCGAGCACAAUGUUUAUAUGGCAUGCAGCAGAUAACACAAAAAUCUCAGGGCUAUAUUCUCAGCUAGUAUAAAUUGGCAAAUGUUUUUUACUUCAGCCGCCCCUAAGCUAAUUUACAUCAGAUGAGGAUCCAGUCCGCAGUUCUAAAGCACGAGGAGCAGUGUCAGGACAUACGUGCCAUUUGCUGUCACCCGGCUGAGAUAUUACCCGGAGCCUUGUGAGCAUCGCAGGCCGUGCUGUUGGGCCUUCUGUGAGCUGGCAGAUAACAACCAGAAGGAGCACUAACUGUAAAGGUUGUGACACAGGAGACAUUAAUUCAAAGUUAAGUUGGACAUUUCAAGGGCCAUAUCCUCAGCUGGUGUAAAUCACUGUUGCUCUGUUGCCUGCAAUGGAGCGGUACCAGCUUACACCACUUGAGGGGCCGGUCCUUCAUUCUUGCUCAUCCCUUUCACUCCUCGGUCCUGCAGGGAUCUCAGAUUGUCGUGUACUGUUAAUGUAAUCCUGUGUUCUCUAAUACUUAAGCACAAUAAGUGAAUAUAAGAAUGAGUGUCAGACUUAACUUUGAAUGUCCGAGCUCUGAAAUGGUUUGUUUCACCAUUGUGGCUGUAAAUUAAACAGUUCUCUGUGCAUCUGUGAA